UUCAAGCAAAGGGUGAAUGGCCCCUUUUGGGGGGUGAUGUUCAGGGUUUCUUGGUCAUCAGAGCUUAAUUUGGAUAGCUUUUGUAGUCUCUUCGAUGUUUGGGAUUCUUUGAUUUAUUCAACAUACACCAGGUUGUGGAUCCUGCCUCAAUUUCCCCAUCAGGAACACAGCCACCUAACAAGGGGAUAGGUGAUGCAUUCAGAGAUGAAGGAUCACUGAUGACAGAUAAUGAAGAACUCACAAAAGACUCAAAGAAGUCCACAAACAGUCAAGACAACUUUUGUUCCCUUUCUGGAGGUUAACAUCUUCCUACCCUACUGUCCCUCCACUUCAGGAACCUAUAUAUUCCUACGGAUUCAGAAUUCUACACUGUGAUUGGAAAUCCACCAAAAGGGAAAUUCAUUUGAGGCCAACUGAUGUAAUAGGAUUCUAGAAUUAGAUCUGAAAAGGAUCUCAGAGGCAU